UCAAUAUAUGGUCCAACUAGAUGCCUCGUGACUUUUCUCACCCGACUAACAGCGAGUCAAGAUAUCUACACCGUCACCGUCACUGCACUUACCGCAUUCAGAAUUUUCAGAUCCACCUGUCCAUAACCUUCCCCAGGUCACUGCCACCGGAGUCCCCGCCACCACCAUAGCUCCAAUCGCCAUCAGUCCCUAAUUACCAAAUCACCAACCCAACAGCUCACAUCCGCCUAACAGGCCGAUAUCCUUCGUUUGAUAUUUUUCUUUUGUUUUUCUUUUAUUUAUUUUGAGUCUCCUAAUUAUUUUAUGUUUUAAUUUUUUUCUAAUUUUUUAAUUUUUCUAUUUCCUUUUCUUUAUGGUGCUUGUUUUCUGCUCCCGAGAUCUUUUAUAUAUGAUCGUAAAUGGUGUCGAUUCACAGUUUGGAUCAGAAUCGUAGCAGUGUUGAGAUGGAGAGAGUUUGCUUAUAUUGGAGUUGAUGAAUAAUUCUUUUUUUUCGUUUACCAUCUGAUUUCCAGCGAUGGUCCCGACUAAUCCUUUGAGAUAUAAUCACAGUUAAGAUUCCUUAUUCUUCUCAAAUGAUAUAUUUAGUGGAAAUCAAACUCGAGAGUUGAUGAAUAAUUCUAAUGGUGGUGCAAUGAGAUUUCGAUGACCUGGCCAUGUCGCUGAUGGCAUGGGUUGAGGCCUCAUCGAGAGUCAGGCUGGGAAUACUUGAAAUGAAGUGGUUAUCAUUGCUGAGGUUUUGUAGUUUUUUAGUUCUGUUUUGUAGUUAAUUAGCAUUAUGUUGUGGUGUAUUCUAUUAUUUUUUAUAUUCUUAUUUUCUUAUCCCAUAUAUUGUGCAAUAUGGUCUUGUAUUUAUGUCUAUAAUAUAUUAUAUUGUUAGUCAUUAUUAAUCUUCAAUGAUUGUGUUUGUAUAAAUAUAUAUAUAUAUAUAUAUAUAUAUAUAUAUAUAUAUAUAUAUAUAUAUAUGUAGCAUAUUCCAAGAAGGUUUUGACAAAAAAAAAGUUGUUUGGUCCACUGAAAACUGUAC
rnacentral:lncRNA from 1 species